rfam:Ailuropoda melanoleuca scaffold302_145, whole genome shotgun sequence.
GCUUUCUGAACAGCUGAUUUAGCUACAAAGAAACCAGUUUCCUUCAGAGAGC